CCGCGAACGGGUGAGUAACACGUGGGUAAUCUACCCCGAUGACCGGGACAACCCGAGGAAACUCGGGCUAAUACCGGAUGUGGUGUACUGGCAUAAGCCGGUCCACUAAAGGUAGCUUCGGCUUCCGCAUUGGGAGGGGCCCGCGGCCCAUUAGCUUGUUGGUGGGGUCAAGGCCUACCAAGGCAACGAUGGGUAGCUGGUCUGAGAGGACGAUCAGCCACACUGGGACUGAGACACGGCCCAGACUCC
rnacentral:rRNA from 1 species